rnacentral:rRNA from 1 species
GACAGAGGGGGCAAGCGUUGCUCGGAAUUACUGGGCGUAAAGGGCGCGUAGGCGGGAUGGCAAGUCGGUCGUGAAAUCCCUCGGCUCAACCGAGGAACGUCGAUCGAUACUGCUGUUCUUGAGGAUUGCAGAGGAGACUGGAAUUCCCGGUGUAGCGGUGAAAUGUGUAGAGAUCGGGAGGAACACCGGUGGCGAAGGCGGGUCUCUGGCUCGACCCGUGACGCUGAGGCGCGAAAGCGUGGGGAGCGAACGGGG